rnacentral:rRNA from 1 species
AGAGUUUGAUCAUGGCUCAGAGCGAACGUUAGCGGCGGGCCUAACACAUGCAAGUCGAACGAGAAUAGGGGAGCAAUCCCCUUAGUAAAGUGGCGGACGGGUGCGUAACACGUGGGUAAUCUACCUUCCGGCGGGGGACAACAGUCCGAAAGGAUUGCUAAUACCGCAUACGUCAGCGAGGUCUACGGACCUUGUUGGGAAAGAUGGCCUCUCCUUGGAAGCUGUCACCGGAAGAUGAGCCCGCGCCCCAUCAGCUAGUUGGUGAGGUAAUGGCUCACCAAGGCUUAGACGGGUAGCUGGUCUGAGAGGAUGAUCAGCCACACUGGGACUGCGACACGGCCCAGACUCCUACGGGAGGCAGCAGUGGGGAAUAUUGGGCAAUGGGCGCAAGCCUGACCCAGCCACGCCGCGUGAGUGAUGAAGGCCUUCGGGUCGUAAAGCUCUGUGGGGAGGGACGAACAAAUCUGGGGCUAAUCACCCGGAUCCUGACGGUACCUCCUUAGCAAGCACCGGCUAACCCUGUGCCAGCAGCGGCGGUAAUAC